rnacentral:rRNA from 1 species
UCGCCUGUUUAUCAAAAACAUGGUUUCUUGAUUUUACUUAAGAAAUUUAACCUGCCCACUGAAAAAUUUUUGAAGGGCCGCAGUAUUUUGACUGUGCAAAGGUAGCAUAAUCAUUAGUCUUUUAAUUAAGGGCUGGUAUGAAUGGUUGGACGAGGUAAAUUCUGUUUUAUAUUAAUUGAAAUUGAAUUUAGAUUUUAAGUAAAAAUACUUAAAUGUUAUUAAGGGACGAGAAGACCCUAUAGAGUUUAAUAAAUUUAAUAAUUAAUUGAGUUAAUAUUAAAUUUUUAAUUUUUAUGAAAUUUAUUUAAUUGGGGUGAUUAGAAGAUAAAAUAAACUCUUUUUUGAUGUUAAUAUUUUUAAUAGUUUUAAGAUCCAUUAAUAAUGAUUAAAAGAUUAAAUUACCUUAGGGAUAACAGCAUAAUUCUUUUUGAGAGUUCAUAUCGAAAAAAGAGAUUGUGACCUCGAUGUUGGAUUAAGAUUAGUUUUGGGUGCAGAUGUUCAUUAACUAGGUCUGUUCGACCUUGAAAAUCUUACAUGAUCU